ACUGACCUAAAUACUAUACCUUCUAAACACCAGAUUCUGUCUGAUCUUGGAAGCUAAGCAGGGGAAGUCCUUGUUAGUACUUGGAUGGGAGACCACCAAAAAAUCCCAGCUGCUGUAAGCU
rnacentral:rRNA from 1 species